ACGCAUGAUGUCCAAGACCCCGAUUACGUAAUUCCGCGAAACUACUUGUGCGUCGGGUCACCGAAGAAGGCGAGGCGGCCUCUCUCCUCGCGGAGAGCAAUUCUCGCCUUCGAAUUGCCGCUUCUAGAGUCGGGAGAGUG